AGAGUUUGAUUCUGGCUCGGAACGAACGCUGGUGGCGUGUCUUAUACAUGCAAGUCGAGCGAGGCAGCAAUGCCGAGCGGCGAACGGGUGAGUAACGCGUAAGCAAUCUGCCCCAUAUCAGGAAAUACCCGUGCCAACGCGCGGUUAAUGUCCAGGAGAGUGGCCCUCUGCAUGGAGGGUUGACUAGAGAUUUAUCGGUACGGGAUGAGCUUGCGUCCGAUUAGCUAGUUGGCGGGACAACGGCCACCAAGGCGACGAUCGGUAGCCGGCCUGAGAGGGUGAUCGGCCACAUUGGGACUGAGAUACGGCCCAGACUCCUACGGGAGGCAGCAGUAGGGAAUAUUGCACAAUGGGGGAAACCCUGAUGCAGCAACGCCACGUGUGGGAAAGAAGCAUUUCGGUGUGUAAACCACUGUCAUGAGGGAAUAAGGCCCAGUUUAGGCUGGGAUUGAAUGUACCUUGAGAGGAAGCACCGGCAAACUUCGUGCCAGCAGCUGC
rnacentral:rRNA from 1 species